rnacentral:rRNA from 1 species
AAAGGGUGCGUAGGCGGCGCGUUAAGUCUGGGGUGAAAGCCCGUUGCUCAACAACGGAACUGCCCUGGAAACUGGCGCGCUUGAGUACAGACGAGGGUGGCGGAAUGGAUGCUGUAGCGGUGAAAUGCAUAGAUAGCAUCCAGAACCCCGAUUGCGAAGGCAGCUGCCUAGACUGUAACUGACGCUGAGGCACGAAAGCGUGGGGAGCGAACAGGAUUAGAUACCCUGGU